rnacentral:rRNA from 1 species
AGUGAACGCUGGCGGUAGGCCUAACACAUGCAAGUCGAACGGCAGCACAGUAAGAGCUUGCUCUUACGGGUGGCGAGUGGCGGACGGGUGAGGAAUACAUCGGAAUCUACUUUUUCUUGGGGGAUAACGUAGGGAAACUUACGCUAAUACCGCAUACGACCUACGGGUGAAAGCAGGGGAUCUUCGGACCUUGCGCGAUUGUAUGAGCCGAUGUCGGAUUAGCUAGUUGGCGGGGUAAAGGCCCACCAAGGCGACGAUCCGUAGCUGGUCUGAGAGGAUGAUCGGCCACACUGGAACUGAGACACGGUCCAGACGCCUACGGGAGGCAGCAGUGGGGAAUAUUGGACAAUGGGCGCAAGCCUGAUCAAGCAAUGCCGCGUGGGUGAAGAAGGACUUCGGGUUGUAAAGCCCUUUUGUUGGGAAAGAAAAGCAGCAGGUUAAUACCCGGCUGUUCUGACGGUACCCAAAGAAUAAGCACCGGCUAACUACGUG